rnacentral:rRNA from 1 species
GUCGAGAAUUUUUCACAAUGGGCGAAAGCCUGAUGGAGCGACGCCGCGUGGGGGAUGAAUGGCUUCGGCCCGUAAACCCCUGUCAUUUGCGAUCAACCGUUAUUAUUUAAAAGAUGAUAACCUGAUAGUAGCGAAAGAGGAAGGGACGGCUAACUCUGUGCCAGCAGCCGCGGUAAUACAGAGGUCCCGAGCGUUGUUCGGAUUCACUGGGCGUAAAGGGUGCGUAGGUGGUGAGGUAAGUCGGAUGUGAAAUCUCCGGGCUCAACCCGGAAACUGCAUUGGAUACUACCUUGCUUGAGGGUUGGAGGGGGGACUGGAAUGCUUGGUGUAGCAGUGAAAUGCGUAGAUAUCAAGCGGAACACCAGUGGCGAAGGCGAGUCCCUGGACAACUCCUGACACUGAGGCACGAAAGCUAGGGGAGCAAACAGGAUUAGAUACCCUAGUAGUCC